GUUAAAAAGCUCGUAGUCGGAUUCCAGUAUUAGGCCCUUCUUCCAAUACGGUUGCUAGUGGUCUUUACUUCCUUAACAGAAUCUUUCAUCUCAUUAAUUUGGGGUGUUUGGGGCCUGUUUCUUUUACUUUGAGAAAAUUAGAGUGUUCAAAGCGGGUUUUCGCCUGGAUAUUACUCUUGGAAUAAUAAUAUAGGACUUUGGUUCUUUUUUGUUGGUGACUUAGAACCGAAGUAAUGAUUGAUAGGGACAGUUGGGGUCAUUCGUACUAUGAAGCGAGAGGUGAAAUUCAUGGACCUUUGUAUGACGAACUACUGCGAAAGCAUUUGACUAGGAUGUUCCCGUUGAUCAAGAACGAAAGUUGGGGGAUCGAAGACGAUCAGAUACCGUCGUAGUCUCAACCAUAAACUAUGCCAGCUAGGGAUUGGAGGAAGAUCAUUUUACGUCUCCUUCAGCACCUUAUGAGAAAUCAAAGCAUUUGGGUUCCGGGGGGAGUAUGGUCGCAAGGCUGAAACUUAAAGGAAUUGACGGGAGGGCACCACCAGGAGUGGAGCCUGCGGCUUAAUUUGAUUCAACACGGGAAAACUUACCAGGUCCGGACAUGGGAAGGAUUGACAGAUUGAAAGCUCUUUCUUGAUUCUAUGGGGUGGUGGUGC
rnacentral:rRNA from 1 species